rnacentral:sRNA from 1 species
UUUUGUUUCCAGGGGGGAUUGCCCGUGUGUGGAGAGACUCUAUAUGUUUGUUUACGAUUGUAUGUGUUUUCCUGUGUUGGCAUGUUCUGCAUUUGUGUGCAUUCUGGUGAGAGACUGGAGGUGGUGUGAGGGGCAGGGGGCAUAUGCACACUUGUGUGUGUCUGAGUGUGUCUGGAUGCUGGUGCCCCCACCUACAUUUGUGUUCUGUUCCUGGAACAGCGCCAUGGGGCAAGCGUGGCUGGAAGAUGUUCCACACCUUACUGCGAGGGAUGGUUCUCUACUUCCUGAAGGGAGAAGACCACUGCCUGGAGGGGGAGAGCUUGGUGGGGCAGAUGGUGGAUGAGCCCGUGGGGGUGCACCACUCGCUGGCCACCCCUGCCACCGAUUACACCAAGAAGCCGCACGUCUUCCAACUGCGCACGGCUGACUGGCGCCUCUACCUCUUCCAGGCACCCACUGCCAAGGAGAUGAGCUCCUGGAUCGCGCGCAUCAACUUGGCUGCGGCCACGCACUCCGCGCCGCCCUUCCCCGCCGCUGUGGGCUCC